rnacentral:tRNA from 1 species
AGUCUUAUAGUUUAUUUUAGAAUUUUUUAUUUACGAUAAAAGGGUUUUUAGACUU